GGGAGGGGGGAACGGGCUUCGACU
rnacentral:miRNA from 12 species